CGCGGGGUAGAGCAGUUGGCAGCUCGUCGGGCUCAUAACCCGAAGGUCGUAGGUUCGAGUCCUACCCCCGCAACCA
rnacentral:tRNA from 1 species